rnacentral:rRNA from 1 species
AUUGAACGCUGGCGGCAGGCCUAACACAUGCAAGUCGAACGAGUGGCGGACGGGUGAGUAAUGUCUGGGAAACUGCCUGCUGGCGGGGGAUAACUCCUGGAAACGGUAGCUAAUACCGCAUACCCUCGGAUGUGCCCAGAUGGGAUUAGCUAGUAGGUGGGGUAUAGGCGCACCUAGGCGACGAUCCCUAGCUGGUCUGAGAGGAUGACCAGCCACACGGGAACUGAGACACGGUCCAAACUCAUACGGGAGGCAGCAGUGGGGAAUAUUGCACAAUGGGCACAAGCCUGAUGCAGCCAUGCCGCGUGUAUGAAGAAGGCCUUCGGGUUGUAAAGUACUUUCAGCGGGGAGGCGUUACCCGCAGAAGAAGCACCGGCUAACUCCGUGCCAGCAGCCGCGGUAAUUC